rnacentral:rRNA from 1 species
GAGUUUGAUCCUGGCUCAGGACGAACGCUGGCGGCGUGCUUAACACAUGCAAGUCGAGCGGAAAGGCCCUUCGGGGUACUCGAGCGGCGAACGGGUGAGUAACACGUGAGUAACCUGCCCUGGACUUUGGGAUAACCCUCGGAAACGGGGGCUAAUACCGGAUAUCUACUUCUGGCCGCAUGGUUGGUUGUGGAAAGUUUUUCGGUCUGGGAUGGGCUCGCGGCCUAUCAGCUUGUUGGUGGGGUGAUGGCCUACCAAGGCGACGACGGGUAGCCGGCCUGAGAGGGCGACCGGCCACACUGGGACUGAGACACGGCCCAGACUCCUACGGGAGGCAGCAGUGGGGAAUAUUGCACAAUGGGCGGAAGCCUGAUGCAGCGACGCCGCGUGAGGGAUGACGGCCUCGGUUGUAACGUACUUCUAGCAGGACGAAGACGUGAGUGACGGUACCGUGCAGAAGAAGACGCCGGCCGAACUACGUGCCA